GCCUGUGUGGCAUAGUGGUUAGAGUUUUGGGUUGCAACUCUGGAGAGCAGGAUUAGAUUCCCUGCUCGGCCA